ACACAAGAACUCGACAGUUGUCCAACGUGUGUCCCAGCUUCUGAGUUAGCAUUAGCACGUUAGCUGGCCGCAAAGACGUGUUUAGUUAAGUCAAACGCGACUAAAUCAUCUUCUUCUUGCUUGCUUCCAGUCUGAAGACGUGUUGGAUGGAGGAAGCAAUGACGCAAACCUGAACCAAAUACGUCUUGAACAGACCUAGUUCUGUGUCAUAUCUCCUUUCACCAAAACCGCUAAUCAGCCCAAACAACAAAGCAUACUUGCCAACUCUCCCGAAUUUUCCGGGAGACUCCCGAAUUUCAGUGCCUCUCCCGAAAAUCUCCCGGGACAACCAUUCUACCGAAUUUCUCCCGAUUUCCAGCCGGAAAUCCGUGCGGACCUGAGUGAGGACAGCCUGCCGUCACGUCCGCUUGGCCAACCAAAAAGUAACCACAGAACAAUGUAUAGUGUUCUGUGGUUACUUUUUGGUUGGCCAACGGUUUACGUUGUAUUGCAGCACCCUGACGGCAAGUGUGGGAGUGGGUUCUGAAGUAUGAAGUAAAGAGACGUAACUUCGUCACCUCGCCUGGUUAUUGACUCCAACCCAGAAUAUUACACUGCCCAUACCUAUGCUCCUUCAAAGGCUGUGCUACUGGCUGCAAAGCAUUGCACUUUCAAACACAACAAUGAGUAGAGAGCAGUGUUAAGUGUGUGUAUGUGUCAAGGUUGGCAAGUAUGCAACAAAGUGAAGUAUUUAACCUUUUAUGAAAGCGUAUUAUAAUUAUUAUCAUUAAGAGUAUUAUCAUCAGCGUUCACACUUUCAAUAUUUGAUCGCCCAACAAUCACUGAGUCGCCUUUAUUCUUCCUUUUUUUUUUUUACUCGCUGAAUCUAGUCGGUCUCGUCACGUCCUUUUGUGACCGAGGUCCUACGAGGACGCCUUAAAAUGAAUAGUUUUCCUAAUUAUCAUAAUCCCCUGUCUGCGUCUCUUUAUCUUUCUUUUGGGCCCCUUCCUCUCACACCAUUAUUGACUGCUUGGAGGUCACAUUCUGCUUUUUGGCCACCAGAGGCCACUAGUGAGUAGUUAUAUAUUUAUAGACAUAAAUGAUGUUAAGCUUGUACACCUGUAGCUCUUGUUAACUUGUUCCAAGGACCGUGCCUAUGAUUUCAAAUGUAGGACAGUCUGGUCUGUAGAUAAAACACACUUAGGGUCGUUCUAACGUUUCUUAACACGACAUGAAAGGGACAAGCGGUAGAAAAUGGAUGGAUGGAUGGAUGUCAGUCCAAGUCAUCUUGUUUUUUCUGUUGACAAAUUCGGUCCUUCCCGCUAACUACCUAUGUACUGUACAGCUUUCAUCGUUUCAAUAACCUCACCAAGUGUACUUUUGAGUUAUUUUGUGUUUUUAUUGGUGUUCUGUUGAAAGGAAACGUUGUGACGCAAACAUCCAGUCACUGCAUGCUGUGUAUUUUGUCCAACUCGUCCUGAGCAUGGAAAUGCAUCCAAUGACAACUACUGUGCUGACUCCGUCAAUAUUCUACUAAAUAAACUGAUUUGAUGUUG